rnacentral:tRNA from 1 species
CAGUAUUUAGUUUAUUUAAAAUAUAAUAUUUGGGUUAUUAAGAAGGGUUACUGAU